AUGUAGCUCCCUGUGAACAUUCCGGGUCCAACUGCCAGUGCCACAGAACAAAGAAGCCAAAAGUGAACGCAGCUAAAGACAGCGGUAUUCACAAAUUGAUCAAGGACUGGGGAUGCAGCGGACCGCGAAGGCCAGGAGUUCCACCCCCUAGCACUGGGAAAAACCCUAUACCUGAGAAGGGGCCCACAGCCGCACAAAAACCAUGGAAGACUCCGCUGCGAGGAAGCCCUGGCCAGCCCCUCCGGGGACUGCAUGGAAGCGGCCCUGUCACGCCUCUGGGCUCUGCCAAGGGGCCCCUCACCCCCGCCUGGUCCUCUCAGGCCUCUUCCCACACCGAGACAAAAGUAAUCAGCAAGGACAGGCUGAGGAAGAGCCCCUCCCGUCCUGGGAGGUUGCUGCAGAGAGCGGGGCUCUGCCUCCGGGCAGUGCUGCCCUGGCGAAGGCUGCUUGCCUCGGGGGUGGCGAGAGUGCCAGGAGCUGAUUUCUAAGCGAGUCUGGACAGCAGCCAGGGCAAACAGCGGAACAACGGGAAAACAGCCACUCUGCAGAAUCCUUGCCUCCCACCUCAUGGAGGGGCUGCGGAGGAAGGACCAGGCUCUGGGCGGCCAGGCACGGGGGAUGGCCUGCCCUUAGCACGGAGAAACAAAACAAGCGGCCAUGGUGGUGCCUGCCUGCAUCCCAGCACUCGGCUGCCGGAGUCCACAGCCUAACCCACUGCACAGGAGACGGCCGCCACCUGCAGCCCUGCCCAUGCUGGACAGUGUGUGACUGUGACAAGUAUCAGGAUCAAAGUCAAGUAAAGCAAAACAUACUGCUUUAAGAUUCAGACACACACAGCUAAAAUCAAGUGACGAUGAGCCAGCUGUGCUGCACACCUGUCACCCCAGCACUCAAGAGGCUGAGUCAGGAGGAUCCCAGGUAUGCACCCAAUCAGACUAUUCACAAUGAAACUCUGUCUCAAAGAGCAAACUAAAAUCAACCCUCCCAGGGAACCGCUUGGCAGGGGAGGCACCAGCUGUGUCCCAGACGCUCAGUGCUGGCCUCACCUCCUCUGACACGGAGGCCUCCACCACACCAGCUGCGUAGGCCUGCAGGCUGUCAUUGUAGUCGCCGCUGGUGCCCAGCUCCAGGAAGGCCCACCUGGAGGACAGGAGGGACAUGGUCAGCGCAGGGUCUGCUCGACACUCCCCAGAAGGCCCAUCUGUCACCUGUCUGUGCACCAUCUUCGGGUACCUGUUGGGCUAAGUCCCUAAAAGAGGAACUGCUGGGUCAGAGCACAAGUGAUUCUAUUUUAUUUGACCUUCUACGGUACCAGGGAGUUGAAAGCGGGAAUCCUGUACCACUGAGCUACAUUAUCGUCUCAACCCUUUUUAUUUUGAAGCAGGCUCUGCUCGUGUUACCCAGGUGGACUUGACCUUGGGAAUCCUCCUGCCUCAGUCUCCCCAGCAGCUGAGAUUACAGCUGUGCAUCGUGGCGCAUGGCUUUCUCAGCAGCACCCUGGGAAUACCAGCGAGGCUGGACCUGCAGCUGUAAUGGUGGAUGGGCUGACUCUGCAAAGAACAGACUCCUGUUCUUCUGCUUUUCCUUAUUUCUCUCUCUCUCUGUGUGUGUGUGUGUGUGUGUGUGUCCUGAACCUGGGGCCUCAGAUACACUGAGCAAGCUCUCUUAACAUUGGGCUGAACCCCACUUCCUACUCCUCAUUUAAAAUGCUUCCUAGCUGAGGCAGGAGGAUCAUCACAGGUUGCAGGCCAGCCUAGGAUACACAGGGAGACUCCGCCUCAAAAGAAACAACAACAACAAAAAGAUCCCUAUCAAUAUUUUUGGACUAGCACUCAGGAGGUUGAGGUAGGAGGAUCAUGAGUUCGAGACCAACCUCAGCUAUAAAGUGAGCUCAAGACCAGCCUCAACUACAGAGUGAGAACAAACAGAUAUACUAUAAAGCUCAAAAUCAAGUAAAAUAAAAUAUGUUGCUUUGAGACUCAGACUCAGGCAGGGAAAAUGAAGUGAGCCAUGAGCUGGGUGUGCUCACAUGCACCUGGAAGCCCAGCACUCAGGAAGCUCGGCUCAUGAAGGUGACAGUUGCAAAUUCGAACAGGGGAAAACAGCUUAUGUGCUUGCUUUUGCAGUUCUGAGGAGCCAGUUUGUACAGAGCUAUAUACCCAGCACUUUUAAAUGUUGAAACAGGAUGCUGGGCAUGGUAGCACACUCCUGUAAUCCCAGUGCUCAGGAGGCUGAGGCAGGUGAGUGAUUGCAAAUUUGAAACCAGUCUGGACUACAAAUUGAGCUGAAGGCCAACCUGAGCCACACAGUGAGACCCUGUCUCAAAAGACAAAUAAAAGUUGAAACAGGAUCUCUUAGUCACUAAGCUGCCAAACUUGCAAUCCUCCUGCCUCAGCCUUGCAGAGUGCAGGCAUUACAGGCAUGCAACACCAUGCCUGCCGAAAAUAUUUUUAAAGGCCAUUCCUAUUAGGAAAGCAGGGCAAAAGAAAGAUUUGAGAGACCUCCAAGGCUCCACCCCCUGGAGGCUUUAGGACAGAGUCAAGCUCAGAUAAGACUGCUCCCGGUGUGACCUAAAGUCACCAAAAAGUUCAAGGGCAGGGACAACGCUUCGAGGAUGACACUCUGGAGAGAAGAUUCAAAGGAUCUACAACUGUCCUUCAGCAAGUGAGCCUUUUUUUUGCACCCUCAGGUGCCAGACAAAAGGAAUACAAGGCCCAGAGUCAAAAGCUAUGGCUACCAGGGUAAAGGAUUCCCAGAAGAGGUAAAGCUGCUCUGGGUUUUGAAGCUUAAUUAGGAAUUUGCCAGGUAGAAAAAUGGAGGAAUAUAAAAGAAAGCCUAUGCUCUGGAUGUUCCAAAGCAAAGAAUGCUGCCGGGGCCAGCGGGAGAGGCCGAGUGCGAGGUAUCAGCGAGGCCGGGUUGGUGGAUGGCAGCCCCAAGGGAGUGCUCAGUGCACUCCACACCCACUUUUCUCUCGAUGUUCUCAAGACCUCAUGGUAGAGCCUUACACUCCUCAUCUUCCAGGUAUGGGAAACAAAGCUCAGAGAGGUGCAGUCACACGCUCAGGGCCACACAGUAAGAAGCAGAACUAAGAUUCUAAAGCUUGGCUCACUGCAGCCGGUGGAGUUAGAGCCUGACUGGAGGUUAGAAAAGGACCAGGCCAGGGAUCAAGUCGGAACAGAGCUGAGGCCAGCUGGGCCGAGGUGGAGGGCUGAGAAAGAGGUAGGAGGGCUGAGCCUGGGAGAGGAGGGCAGCUCACAGCAGGGGCUGCAGCCAGCAGGCCCACAAGCCUGGGGGGGGAAUGCACACAGAAACACUGCAACAGACCGCAGAGACACAACGUAACAAAGAAGCAACUUGAGCAUAAUACAGAAUUGCAACAAUCACUAGGAAGAAUGUGGGAACACAAAGAAACAAUGUAACACACAGACCUCCAUAAGAUCUACAGGAAUAAGUAGCAAGGACAUAGUCCCUAUAAUAAGCACACAGACACAAUGUAACAAGUGCAUAACCACUGAACACAAAGAAACAAGCUGGCAAGGAAGAGGCAUUCCACACAGAGGACCAGACUUCCGCCCCUCCCCUUCCAGAACCGCCCUUGCUGUCCCUGGCUGUGCACCCUGUCUACUCCCUUCUUUCUCCAGGUUAAUAUUAGCCAAGUGGCUGUACUUGGAAUCCUGUAGGCUGGCUGUAGCUUGGCCCAAGGUAACCUGUGGCACAAGCACAAAAAAAACUUCCUACUCUUAACCUGCUUUGCACUCAGCUCCGCUCCUGUGCCUCAGUGUUCUGAGACUGGCACCUCCAACAGGUCAGGAGUUUCUUCCCAUUACAGAAUCAGUUACGUGAGUUUUUAGGGGAACACAGCGCCCAUCAAAGAAAAAUAUGAAUCAUGAACUCAAGCUAAUGACUGAUGUAAUUAUGAGUAACAGGAGAAAAACAAGCAAGGAAAUUAAGAUUUUAGAUUUCAAGGAAGGCCAGAUUGCGGGCCCGUGGUCCCAGCUACUAUGGUAGCUGAGGCUGGAGGGUUUCAAAAGUAAGACCAGCCUGGGCAACUUGGCAAAAACCUGUCAGAAAAGAAAAGAGAAGAGAGAAAGUCAGUGAGGCUUCCUCUAAACUGGGUAGAAAGGAGAAGCGUAAAUGAAAAGUGGUUUCCGCCACCAAUGCUCCUGCCCCCAGACACAGAGCCAUGCAUAACGAACGUAAGGACAGUCAUCACCUGUUCCCCCGUCCAGACUUACUCUAGGGAGUAGCAGUGUGAUUUGGCCUGUGUGGGUUUUAUGCACUUUGCCUGAGUCCUCAGAAAUAGAUGUAGUGGUGCCUGUGAUCCCAAUACUCAGGAGGCUGAGGCAGGAGGAUCACCAUGAGUUUGAGGUCACCCUGGACCACAUACCAAGUCCCUGUCUCAAGAAAAAGAACCCCAAAGCCGUGGCACUUGUCCAGCUGUAAGUUUUUUGGAAGGUGGGCAGAAAGCGCUCCCUAGUGGGGUUCAUUUAGCUCUGAGCUGCUGGUUGCCACCCCAGGUCAUCAUGGGGUCUGAAUACAGACACAGGAUAUUAAACUCAAACCCCACUCCUGCAACACACCCUGUCUUCUGACUACAGCUCCCCCGACUGCAAAUGGGAAGAUUCUGACCUCAGCAAUGGCCACUGGAAUCCCUCUCAGCUGUCCUCAGUGAGAACCUAGAAGCGACUCUAACCCACUCACCAGUCCAAAGAAAAACUGCAGCCCAGGUGCGGUGGCACACCCCUCUAACCCCAGCCCUCCGGGAGGCUGACAGGACGAUCACGAGCUCAAGCACAGCCUGGACAAUUUAGUGGCUUAACAAGACCGUCUCAAAAUAAAAAGGGCUGGGGAUGUGGUAAGGUGUGAAGAUCCUGGGUUGCACCCCAGAAGGAAAAAACAAAAACAAAACCACAAAAACACCCCCACACAUACCCUGGCUGCCACCAGGGGUGAACUGCUAGCAAUUGGGAAGCUGAAGCAAGAGGAAUCGCUACAUAGUCAAGGCCAGCCUGGGCUAAAAAGUCAGUUCCAAGGCCAGCCUGUACCAUACAGUGAAACCCUGCCUGAAAAAAAGAGCAAGGGGGGAAAAAAAGAGAGUGUUUCUGUAACUUGAUGUUCUUGCUGACAUCUGCAUUUUAUUUGGAGAUGACGUGCUUUUUGCCUGCUAGCUUCUCAAAUUACUGACCUCAGGAGAUAAAUAUGGUCAAUAUAGUUUUGUUUGGUUCUUAAUGCACUUGUCUGGCAAAAAUUAAAAAGCUGGCAGCACUGCAUCUCUCUCCCCAAUAGCGCCCCCAACCCCAAUCAUCAGGGCAGCUAAUGCUCUCAGGCAACUUGAGGGCCCAAUCCUGGCACCUCAUGAGAAACAACACGUUUGAAAAAGCCAGACCAAGCUGGGCACAGUGGUGCCUGCCUAUAAUCCCAGCACUGGGAGGCCGAAGCAGAAAGAUCUCAGACUCACGGCCGGCAGCAGUCAGGAGGGUUGAGGGAGAGAAACGUGGAAGAGCCCUGGAUUUAACUCUCAGGCCUCUGUUUCCCCAACUAUCAAGUGGGAACAAGGGACACCUGCUCCUUCCUUCCUUCCUUCCUUCUUUCCUUCAGUGAUGUUUUCCAGGAUUCCACUGGACUUCCCUGCCUUCUCAGCCCCACUGGGAGGUGAAGAAACAGGAGGCUCAGAGAGGUAAAGGAAUUCACCCAAGGUCACACAGCAGUGGACUUGACCCACAGUCAAGGAAUGUUUCCCCAGUCCUAUGGGUCCCAUGACUGAGAGCCACUGGGCCCGGGAGCCUCCCCCCAUUGGCAUCCAGGCAGACUUCUGGCCUCUUGGUUCUGCAGAUGGGGCCAAACCAUGUGGUGAGUCAGCAGGGAACAGCUCACCACAUUCCAGAGCUCCACCACCAGACACAUGUGCUGAGGUUUCUUGUUUCUUUUCUUUUUCAGUCCUGGGGAUUUGAACCCAGGGCCUUCACAAUGAACUACAUCCCCAGCUCUCCCUCCCCCUUUUUAAAAAAUUUAAGUCACUACUUGAA